AUUGAACUCCUGCCUCAGGGUUAUUGCUGUUUAUCAUUUUGCUGCUGCAGUUCAAACUGCUCUGAAACACUGUCCUUCUCCAGUCUGACCUCUUCUACCCCAGCCAGAGCAGGGUGAGCCCUUGUAAAAUUGUGGGUUACACAGUGUUUGGACGUUCCUGUGUAAUUUUUGUUUCUGUGUCUGUGCUAAACAGUUGCUCUGUGGAAUUUCCACUAUGAUCAGUUAGGGUAGAAAACUUAGCAUUUUCACUAAAAAUGAGAGAUCACUGACUGGCUGCUUGUUCGGCAUAAAUCAAGGUCAAUACAAUCUCCUUGAUUUCAUAUCUCCAAGCUAGUCUGAACUUGCUCUUCAGCACGACUGCACUCCUUCAGGCAAUGCUCCGCAUAGUUUCCUCCUACUUGUAGCCAAAUGUGUCUUCAUUAAAUUCUUGAUUUAUUUACUUUUAAUAAAUACUCUGAGUGAAAUGCUCUGGCUACAUUUUCAGCUUUUUUGAUCCUAAACAUCCAUAAUGGGGAAGAAAAGCUUUAGGUAUGCAAAGUGGGGAUACAUAUAAAACAUCCAUAGGAAAACACUGUGUAGCCAGUUAAAAGAUUAAGUCGAAUGAAAUAAGCAAUAUACAGAGUCCUUCCUUGUCAGCUCAGAGCUCCUGGUCAUGGCUGGAUGACCAUGCAAUGCAAAUUUUUUGAUUAUGUUGUUCUGUCCUGAUUGUUGACAUAGCUGCAUGCUACCUGGGAUGACUUAGUGUUAUAGUUACUGAUAUUUGGAGAGUUGAAAUUUGUUUUCUCUACACACGGAAGGUGUGGGUUAUAUACAUUUAUUCUUCAAGUUUAUACUGACAUAUGUCUCUGUGAGCCCUCAUGUUAAUCUUUUCACCACAGCUUCUCUGCAGCAGAUUGUAAAAGAAAGAGGGGAUACUCUGGAAGAGUGAAGAAAUCUUUUGCAGUUCAUGCAGACCGACAUGGCCAUGCUACUCAGGACUGGUUGGACUGGUAAGGGGAGAGUCUCCUCUUUGCCACUCCUACCUUGGCUCGCUC
rnacentral:lncRNA from 1 species